rnacentral:misc_RNA from 1 species
AGAAUUCACACCAAAUAUUCAACAAGAUCGAACAAAAUGAAUUUUAAAAAUAAAUUGUAAUGAGACACUAGAGCUAAUGAAAGAAGACACCAAAAAUUAAUGACAUAAUAAGCGAAAGACCUAUGUUUGAGAAAAAAAACCUAAUGUAAAGAAACUCUAACAAGAUGAAAAUUAAAUAAAUUGAAUGUAAUAAAAUCACAAUUGUAAUUUCCAAGUAAAAAAUCUCACAGUUGGUGGUGUAAAUCUCACAACUGGUAGUGUAAUUUCAAUUUAACAAGCAAACAAGGGAAUUUUUAUACCAAAUUUUACAAGUAACUCAAAGAUGAUGUUUAUAGAUAUCCUAUAAAAUUUCAGCAAAAUCUAGGUUGAUUUGGUAUAAGUUCUAAAAAUCACACCCAUUAUGCCAAAAAUGCACAACAUCAACAAUU